rnacentral:rRNA from 1 species
CCUUCGGGUUGUAACCCUCUUUCAGUAGGGAGGAAGCCCCUUUUGGGGGUGACGGUACUUGCAGAAGAAGCGCCGGCUAACUACGUGCCAGCAGCCGCGGUAAUACGUAGGGCGCAAGCGUUAUCCGGAAUUAUUGGGCGUAAAGAGCUCGUAGGCGGUUUGUCGCGUCUGCCGUGAAAGUCCGAGGCUCAACCUCGGAUCUGCGGUGGGUACGGGCAGACUAGAGUGAUGUAGGGGAGACUGGAAUUCCUGGUGUAGCGGUGAAAUGCGCAGAUAUCAGGAGGAACACCGAUGGCGAAGGCAGGUCUCUGGGCAUUUACUGACGCUGAGGAGCGAAAGCAUGGGGAGC